GAAAUCCCUGAGUCUCUUGGGACAAUUAAGAGCUUCCAAGGCCUGCAGCGGGAAGCUGAGAGGCGCCCCUGGCUGUGAGGGCUGCCCAGUUCCAGUCCGGGUCCCACCCUUGUUUGGCACCCUGCCUUGCCUGUUUUGAAAGCUGGAAGCAUCUGGGUGUGGCUGGCCCCAGACACCAUGGGAGACAGGACUGUGCUCCAGGACGCCAAAGAUUAUCCAGUGUGGUGUGGCUAUUUCCUGUAACACAGGUCCAGAGUUCCCAAAGCCUCUCUUCCCCAAUACUUCGGUAAGCAAGAAAAUUAACACAGGGACACAGGGAAAGGCAGAUCCAGACUUAGAACCAGAGUAAGUACUUAUCAGUUUUGCUCACACUAGUUCCAGACAAGUUUUGGCUUACUCCGAGACAAGGAAAGCUUCUAAAAGAGAGAUUAUUUUCAAGGCCCCCUGAAAGAUCUUGACCUUGCAUUAGGUAAAAGUUAAUUCAUUUCACAAGUCAUCCAAUCUAAGCAGUAAUUGUACAAAUACUGUAACAUACUCGAAUAAUUAGACUAUUAAUACUUCUGGAGGCUAAUCCUAAAGUUGACAAAGUAAUUCUGCCCAAUUCUAGAAUGAUGAUCUUGCCCAUCAUUGAAUCUGUUUGCAAGUCUACCACAGUCUAAGAAUUUGUCCAAAAUCUGUAAUGAAGCCUUGGUAUAGAUAUAUGAUACCUCUUAAGUAUUAAGAAUAGAGGUGAGGCGAGGUGGCUCAUGCCUGUAAUCCCAGCA
rnacentral:lncRNA from 1 species